rnacentral:rRNA from 1 species
CUGGCGGCUNGUCCAACACAUGAGGAUCGAACGAGAAAGUGGAGCAAUCCAUGAGUAAAGUGGCGCAUUUGCCCGUAACACGUGACUAACCUACCCUCGAGUGGGGAAUAACCUCGGGAAACCGGGGCUAAUACCGCAUAACAUCUACGGAUCAAAUGCGUAAGCAGCUUGAGGAGGGGGUCGCGGCCGAUUAGCUAGUUGGCGGGGUAAUGGCCCACCAAGGCAAUGAUCGGUAGCCGGCCUGAGAGGGCGCACGGCCACACUGGAACUGAAACACGGUCCAUACUCCUACGGGAGGCAGCAGUGGG